rnacentral:rRNA from 1 species
CCUACGGGAGGCAGCAGUGAGGAAUAUUGGUCAAUGGACGAGAGUCUGAACCAGCCAAGUAGCGUGAACGAUGACUGCCCUAUGGGUUGUAAACUUCUUUUAUAAAGGAAUAAAACGAGGCACGUGUGCCUUUUUGCAUGUACUUUAUGAAUAAGGAUCGGCUAAUUCCGUGCCAGCAGCCGCGGUAAUACGGAGGGUCCGAUCGUUAUCCGGAUUUAGUGGGUUUAAUGGGAGCGUAGAUGGGUUGUUAAGUCAGUUGUGAAAGUUUGCGGGUCAACCGUAAAAUUGCAAUUGAUACUGGCAGUCUUGAGUGCAGGUGAGGUAGGCGGAAUUCGUGGUGUAGCGGUGAAAUGCUUAGAUAUCACGAAGAACCCCGAUUGCGAAGGCAGCUUACUAAACUGUGACUGACAUUGAUGCUCGAAAGUGUGGGGAUCAAACAGGAUUAGAUACCCGUGUAGUC